rnacentral:rRNA from 1 species
GAUGAACGCUGGCGGCGUGCCUAAUACAUGCAAGUCGAGCGAACGGACGAGAAGCUUGCUUCUCUGAUGUUAGCGGCGGACGGGUGAGUAACACGUGGAUAACCUACCUAUAAGACUGGGAUAACUUCGGGAAACCGGAGCUAAUACCGGACGAUAUUUUGAACCGCAUGGUUCAAAAGUGAAAGACGGUCUUGCUGUCACUUAUAGAUGUAUCCGCGCUGCAUUAGCUAGUUGGUAAGGUAACGGCUUACCAAGGCAACGAUGCAUAGCCGACCUGAGAGGGUGUUCGCCCACCCUGGAACUGAGACACGGUCCAGACUCCUACGGGAGGCAGCAGUAGGGAAUCUUCCGCAAUGGGCGAAAGCCUAACGGAGCAACGCCGCGUGAGUGAUGAAGGUCUUCGGAUCGUAAAACUCUGUUAUUAGGGAAGAACAUAUGUGUAAGUAACUGUGCAAAUCUUGACGGUACCUAAUCAGAAAGCAACGGCUAACUACGUG